rnacentral:rRNA from 1 species
UGCCAGCCGCCGCGGUAAUACGUAGGUCCCGAGCGUUGUCCGGAUUUAUUGGGCGUAAAGCGAGCGCAGGCGGUUAGAUAAGUCUGAAGUUAAAGGCUGUGGCUUAACCAUAGUACGCUUUGGAAACUGUUUAACUUGAGUGCAAGAGGGGAGAGUGGAAUUCCAUGUGUAGCGGUGAAAUGCGUAGAUAUAUGGAGGAACACCGGUGGCGAAAGCGGCUCUCUGGCUUGUAACUGACGCUGAGGCUCGAAAGCGUGGGGAGCAAACAGGAUUAGAUA